rnacentral:rRNA from 1 species
ACAACUUUCAACAAUGGAUCUCUUGGCUCUCGCAUCGAUGAAGAACGCAGCGAAAUGCGAUAAGUAAUGUGAAUUGCAGAAUUCAGUGAAUCAUCGAAUCUUUGAACGCACCUUGCGCUCCUUGGUAUUCUGAGGAGCAUGCCUGUUUGAGUGUCAUUAAA